GUACUGUAUGAAAGGAGAAAAAGUUAGAGUUUCUCUCAACAAGGAUAGAAGAGGCCCUUGGGUCUGACAACAAACAUACAGGUAAGGUACUGCCACCUACUUUGUGGCAUCUAACAAUGGUUAAAA
ensembl:snRNA